rnacentral:rRNA from 1 species
CCUACGGGAGGCUGCAGUCGAGAAUCAUUCACAAUGGGGGAAACCCUGAUGGUGCGACGCCGCGUGGGGGAAUGAAGGUCUUCGGAUUGUAAACCCCAGUCAUGUGGGAGCAAAUUAAAAAGAUAGUACCACAAGAGGAAGAGACGGCUAACUCUGUGCCAGCAGCCGCGGUAAUAGAGAGGUCUCAAGCGUUGUUCGGAAGCACUGGGCGUAAAGCGUGCGUAGGCGGUUGCGUAAGUCGUGUGUGAAAGGCGCGGGCUCAACCCGCGGACGGCACAUGAUACUGCGAGACUAGAGUAAAGGAGGGGGAAGCGGAAGUCUCGGUGUAGCAGUGAAAUGCGUAGAUA